rnacentral:tRNA from 1 species
GGUGGCUCAGUGAUGGAGUGCUUGCCUUGCAUGCAUGAGGCCCUGGGUUCAAUUCCUCAGCACCA